rnacentral:rRNA from 1 species
UACGUAGGGUGCAAGCGUUGUCCGGAAUUAUUGGGCGUAAAGAGCUCGUAGGCGGUUUGUCGCGUCUGGUGUGAAAAUCCAGGGCUUAACCCUGGACCUGCAUCGGGUACGGGCAGACUAGAGUGCGGUAGGGGAGAUCGGAAUUCCUGGUGUAGCGGUGAAAUGCGCAGAUAUCAGGAGGAACACCGGUGGCGAAGGCGGAUCUCUGGGCCGUAACUGACGCUGAGGAGCGAAAAGCAUGGGGGAGCGAACAGG